rnacentral:rRNA from 1 species
ACUCCUACGGGAGGCAGCAGUGAGGAAUAUUGCGCAAUGGGCGAAAGCCUGACGCAGCGACGCCGCGUGGGGGAUGAAGGUCUUCGGAUUGUAAACCCCUUUCGGGAGGGAAGAUGGGACGGGCAACCGUUCGGACGGUACCUCCAGAAGCAGCCACGGCUAACUUCGUGCCAGCAGCCGCGGUAAUACGAAGGUGGCAAGCGUUGUUCGGAUUUACUGGGCGUACAGGGUGCGUAGGCGGUUCGGUAAGCCCUUCGGGAAAACUCCAGGCUCAACCUGGAAAGUUCGGAGGGGACUGCCGGGCUAGAGGACGGGAGAGGAGCGCGGAAUUCCCGGUGUAGCGGUGAAAUGCGUAGAGAUCGGGAGGAAGGCCGGUGGCGAAGGCGGCGCUCUGGAACGUUCCUGACGCUGAGGCACGAAAGCGUGGGGAGCAAACAGGAUUAGAUACCCUGGUAGUCCACGCCCUAAACGAUGGACACUAAGUGUCGGCGGGUUACCGCCGGUGCCGCAGCUAACGCAUUAAGUGUCCCGCCUGGGAAGUACGGCCGCAAGGUUGAAACUCAAAUGAAUUGACGG